rnacentral:rRNA from 1 species
UACAGAGGGUGCGAGCGUUAAUCGGAAUUACUGGGCGUAAAGCGCGCGUAGACGGUUAUUUAAGUCAGAUGUGAAAGCCCCGGGCUCAACCUGGGAAUUGCAUUUGAGACUGAAUAGCUAGGGUGCGGUAGAGGGAAGCGGAAUUUCCGGUGUAGCGGUGAAAUGCGUAGAUAUCGGAAGGAACAUCAGUGGCGAAAGCGGCUUCCUGGACCAGCACCGACGUUCAGGCACGAAAGCGUGGGGAGCAAACAGG